rnacentral:rRNA from 1 species
GGGGAAUAUUGCACAAUGGGGGAAACCCUGAUCCAGCGAUGCCGCGUGAGGGAAGAAGGUUUUCGGAUUGUAAACCUCUGUGGACAGGGACGAUAAUGACGGUACCUGUUUAGAAAGCCACGGCUAACUACGUGCCAGCAGCCGCGGUAAUACGUAGGUGGCGAGCGUUGUCCGGAAUUACUGGGUGUAAAGGGAGUGUAGGCGGGAAGGCAAGUCAGAAGUGAAAAUUAUGGGCUUAACCCAUAACCUGCUUUUGAAACUGUUUUUCUUGAGUGAGGCAGAGGCAAGCGGAAUUCCUAGUGUAGCGGUGAAAUGCGUAGAUAUUAGGAGGAACACCAGUGGCGAAGGCGGCUUGCUGGGCCUUUACUGACGCUGAGGCUCGAAAGCGUGGGGAGCAAACAGGAUUAGAUACCCUGGUAGUCCACGCCGUAAACGAUGAUCACUAGGUGUGGGGAGUUGAACCUUUCCGUGCCGGAGUUAACACAAUAAGUGAUCCACCUGGGGAGUACGACCGCAAGGUUGAAACUCAAAGGAAUUGACGGGGGCCCGCACAAGCAGUGGAGUAUGUGGUUUAAUUCGAAGCAACGCGAAGAACCUUACCAGGUCUUGACAUCGAGUGACGAUCCCAGAGAUGGGAUUUCCCUUCGGGGCACGAAGACAGGUGGUGCAUGGUUGUCGUCAGCUCGUGUCGUGAGAUGUUGGGUUAAGUCCCGCAACGAGCGCAACCCUUACUAUUAGUUGCUACGCAAGAGCACUCUAAUAGGACUGCCGUUGAUAAAACGGAGGAAGGUGGGGAUGACGUCAAAUCAUCAUGCCCUUUAUGACCUGGGCUACACACGUACUACAAUGGCGUUUAACAAAGAGAAGCGAAACCGCGAGGUUGAGCAAAUCCCCAAAAAACGUCUCAGUUCAGAUUGCAGGCUGCAACUCGCCUGCAUGAAGUCGGAAUUGCUAGUAAUCGUAGGUCAGCAUACUACGGUGAAUACGUUCCCG